rnacentral:rRNA from 1 species
UUGAUUACGUUCCUGCCCUUUGUACACACCGCCCGUCGCUGCCCGGGACUGAGCCGUUUCGAGAAAAGCGGAGACUGCUGUUUUGAUACCUUUCAGGGUGGAGAUUCUUUGGUGGAAACCGCUUUAAUCGCAGUGGCUUGAACCGGGCAAAAGUCGUAACAAGGUUUCCGUAGGUGAACCUGCGGAAGGAUCAUUA